GUACGGGAGGCAGCAGUUGGGAAUCUUCGGCAAUGGGCGAAAGCCUGACCGAGCAACGCCGCGUGAGGGAUGAAGGCCUUCGGGUUGUAAACCUCUGUCUAGUGGAAAGAUAAUGACGGUACCACUGGAGGAAGCUACGGCUAACUACGUGCCAGCAGCCGCGGUAAUACGUAGGUAGCGAGCGUUGUCCGGAAUUAUUGGGCGUAAAGGGCGCGCAGGUGGUUUUUUAAGUCAGAUGUGAAAACUCCGGGCUUAACUUGGAGAUUGCAUUUGAAACUGGAAGACUUGAGGACAGGAGAGGAAAGCGGAAUUCCCAGUGUAGCGGUGAAAUGCGUAGAGAUUGGGAAGAACACCAGUGGCGAAGGCGGCUUUCUGGACUGCCCCUGACACUGAGGCGCGAAAGCUAGGGGAGCGAACGGGAUUAGAUACCCUGGUAGG
rnacentral:rRNA from 1 species